rnacentral:lncRNA from 1 species
UAGACUUUAACUAUCUGCAAAGGAGUGCUCUAAAUUUAAUUUGCAUGCAGUGGAUGACAGAUAUCUGUGGCUUCUGGUGCUUUGCAGGAAUUGUUGCUGGAAGCCUUCAACAUGCGCUGAACAUCACCCUAGAAAUGAAACAAAGGGGAAAGUUUUGAGAGGCAGAGAUGAAGGUGCGGAAAGAGGACAGGGCAAGAGGAAGAACAUUGCACGAUGAAGAACCUGGCAGAGGCCAAUCAGUCAAAAAAAAAGGAAAAACUGUGGCAAGGAAGUAUAUCUAAGGAAGCAAAGAAGGAAAAGAUGCAACUGCUCACCUGGCUGCCACAUCAUUUUCUUUGUCCCACGUGUACCAAUACCAAGAAAACAGGAACAAAAAAUUGAGGCUGAAGGACUGGACAAUCUGUGUCAGUCAUUUAAAUUAAAAAAUAAAGUUCAUUUCCAGUUUGCAAACUUGCAUUACUUACCACAGGCUUUGCUGAGAUGUGGGACCAAACAAUUAAAUUAUUAAAAUAUUGCUUGA